AUAUUUCCUAAUAAUGUAGUAUAUAUGCUAAAAGUGGAACACUUCAGAGAAGUUUAGCAUGGCUCCUGCGUGAUAAUGUCAUAAUUUCACAAACUGCUAAUUUUCUUUUU
rfam:Octopus bimaculoides Scaffold22781_contig_255, whole genome shotgun sequence.